AGAGUUUGAUCCUGGCUCAGAGCGAACGCUGGCGGCAGGCCUAACACAUGCAAGUCGAACGAACUCUUCGGAGUUAGUGGCGGACGGGUGAGUAACACGUGGGAACGUGCCUUUAGGUUCGGAAUAACUCAGGGAAACUUGUGCUAAUACCGAAUGUGCCCUUCGGGGGAAAGAUUUAUCGCCUUUAGAGCGGCCCGCGUCUGAUUAGCUAGUUGGUGAGGUAAAGGCUCACCAAGGCGACGAUCAGUAGCUGGUCUGAGAGGAUGAUCAGCCACAUUGGGACUGAGACACGGCCCAAACUCCUACGGGAGGCAGCAGUGGGGAAUCUUGCGCAAUGGGCGAAAGCCUGACGCAGCUAUGCCGCGUGAAUGAUGAAGGUCUUAGGAUUGUAAAAUUCUUUCACCGGGGACGAUAAUGACGGUACCCGGAGAAGAAGCCCCGGCUAACUUCGUGCCAGCAGCCGCGGUAAUACGAAGGGGGCUAGCGUUGCUCGGAAUUACUGGGCGUAAAGGGAGCGUAGGCGGACAUUUAAGUCAGGGGUGAAAUCCCGGGGCUCAACCUCGGAAUUGCCUUUGAUACUGGGUGUCUGAGUAUGAGAGAGGUGUGUGGAACUCCGAGUGUAGAGGUGAAAUUCGUAGAUAUUCGGAAGAACACCAGUGGCGAAGGCGACACACUGGCUCAUUACUGACGCUGAGGCUCGAAAGCGUGGGGAGCAAACAGGAUUAGAUACCCUGGUAGUCCACGCCGUAAACGAUGAUUGCUAGUUGUCGGGAUGCAUGCAUUUCGGUGACGCAGCUAACGCAUUAAGCAAUCCGCCUGGGGAGUACGGUCGCAAGAUUAAAACUCAAAUGAAUUGACG
rnacentral:rRNA from 1 species